GCGAUACCCGAAUGGGGAAACCCAGUGUGACUCGUCACACUAUCAUUAACUGAAUCCAUAGGUUAAUGAGGCGAACCGGGGGAACUGAAACAUCUAAGUACCCCGAGGAAAAGAAAUCAACCGAGAUUCCCCCAGUAGCGGCGAGCGAACGGGGAGGAGCCCAGAGCCUGAAUCAGCAUGUGUGUUAGUGGAAGCGUCUGGAAAGGCGCGCGAUACAGGGUGACAGCCCCGUACACAAAAGCGCAUGUGCUGUGAGCUCGAUGAGUAGGGCGGGACACGUGGUAUCCUGUCUGAAUAUGGGGGGACCAUCCUCCAAGGCUAAAUACUCCUGACUGACCGAUAGUGAACCAGUACCGUGAGGGAAAGGCGAAAAGAACCCCGGCGAGGGGAGUGAAAAAGAACCUGAAACCGUGUACGUACAAGCAGUGGGAGCACAGGUUUACCUGUGUGACUGCGUACCUUUUGUAUAAUGGGUCAGCGACUUAUAUUCUGUAGCAAGGUUAACCGUAUAGGGGAGCCGUAGGGAAACCGAGUCUUAACCGGGCGUUAAGUUGCAGGGUAUAGACCCGAAACCCGGUGAUCUAGCCAUGGGCAGGUUGAAGGUUGGGUAACACUAACUGGAGGACCGAACCGACUAAUGUUGAAAAAUUAGCGGAUGACCUGUGGCUGGGGGUGAAAGGCCAAUCAAACCGGGAGAUAGCUGGUUCUCCCCGAAAGCUAUUUAGGUAGCGCCUCGUGAAUUCAUCUCCGGGGGUAGAGCACUGUUUCGGCUAGGGGGCCAUCCCGGCUUACCAACCCGAUGCAAACUGCGAAUACCGGAGAAUGUUAUCACGGGAGACACACGGCGGGUGCUAACGUCCGUCGUGAAGAGGGAAACAACCCAGACCGCCAGCUAAGGUCCCAAAGUCAUGGUUAAGUGGGAAACGAUGUGGGAAGGCCCAGACAGCCAGGAUGUUGGCUUAGAAGCAGCCAUCAUUUAAAGAAAGCGUAAUAGCUCACUGGUCGAGUCGGCCUGCGCGGAAGAUGUAACGGGGCUAAACCAUGCACCGAAGCUGCGGCAGCGACGCUGAUGCGUUGUUGGGUAGGGGAGCGUUCUGUAAGCCUGUGAAGGUGGCCUGUGAGGGUUGCUGGAGGUAUCAGAAGUGCGAAUGCUGACAUAAGUAACGAUAAAGCGGGUGAAAAGCCCGCUCGCCGGAAGACCAAGGGUUCCUGUCCAACGUUAAUCGGGGCAGGGUGAGUCGACCCCUAAGGCGAGGCCGAAAGGCGUAGUCGAUGGGAAACGGGUUAAUAUUCCCGUACUUGGUGUUACUGCGAAGGGGGGACGGAGAAGGCUAUGUUGGCCGGGCGACGGUUGUCCCGGUUUAAGCGUGUAGGUGUGUGUUCCAGGUAAAUCCGGUUCACUUUAACACUGAGGCGUGAUGACGAGGCACUACGGUGCUGAAGCAACAAAUGCCCUGCUUCCAGGAAAAGCCUCUAAGCAUCAGGUAACAUCAAAUCGUACCCCAAACCGACACAGGUGGUCAGGUAGAGAAUACCAAGGCGCUUGAGAGAACUCGGGUGAAGGAACUAGGCAAAAUGGUGCCGUAACUUCGGGAGAAGGCACGCUGACACGUAGGUGAAGUGAUUUACUCAUGGAGCUGAAGUCAGUCGAAGAUACCAGCUGGCUGCAACUGUUUAUUAAAAACACAGCACUGUGCAAACACGAAAGUGGACGUAUACGGUGUGACGCCUGCCCGGUGCCGGAAGGUUAAUUGAUGGGGUCAGCGCAAGCGAAGCUCCUGAUCGAAGCCCCGGUAAACGGCGGCCGUAACUAUAACGGUCCUAAGGUAGCGAAAUUCCUUGUCGGGUAAGUUCCGACCUGCACGAAUGGCGUAAUGAUGGCCAGGCUGUCUCCACCCGAGACUCAGUGAAAUUGAACUCGCUGUGAAGAUGCAGUGUACCCGCGGCAAGACGGAAAGACCCCGUGAACCUUUACUAUAGCUUGACACUGAACAUUGAGCCUUGAUGUGUAGGAUAGGUGGGAGGCUUUGAAGCGUGGACGCCAGUCUGCAUGGAGCCGGCCUUGAAAUACCACCCUUUAAUGUUUGAUGUUCUAACGUGGACCCGUGAUCCGGGUUGCGGACAGUGUCUGGUGGGUAGUUUGACUGGGGCGGUCUCCUCCUAAAGAGUAACGGAGGAGCACGAAGGUUGGCUAAUCCUGGUCGGACAUCAGGAGGUUAGUGCAAUGGCAUAAGCCAGCUUGACUGCGAGCGUGACGGCGCGAGCAGGUGCGAAAGCAGGUCAUAGUGAUCCGGUGGUUCUGAAUGGAAGGGCCAUCGCUCAACGGAUAAAAGGUACUCCGGGGAUAACAGGCUGAUACCGCCCAAGAGUUCAUAUCGACGGCGGUGUUUGGCACCUCGAUGUCGGCUCAUCACAUCCUGGGGCUGAAGUAGGUCCCAAGGGUAUGGCUGUUCGCCAUUUAAAGUGGUACGCGAGCUGGGUUUAGAACGUCGUGAGACAGUUCGGUCCCUAUCUGCCGUGGGCGCUGGAGAACUGAGGGGGGCUGCUCCUAGUACGAGAGGACCGGAGUGGACGCAUCACUGGUGUUCGGGUUGUCAUGCCAAUGGCACUGCCCGGUAGCUAAAUGCGGAAGAGAUAAGUGCUGAAAGCAUCUAAGCACGAAACUUGCCCCGAGAUGAGUUCUCCCUGAGACUUAGAGUCUCCUGAAGGAACGUUGAAGACGACGACGUUGAUAGGCCGGGUGUGUAAGCGCAGCGAUGCGUUGAGCUAACCGGUACUAAUGAACCGUGAGGCUUAACCUU
rnacentral:rRNA from 1 species